rnacentral:misc_RNA from 1 species
GAUGAAGAACGCAGCGAAAUGCGAUAAGUAAUGUGAAUUGCAGAAUUCAGUGAAUCAUCGAAUCUUUGAACGCACAUUGCGCCCGCCAGUAUUCUGGCGGGCAUGCCUGUUCGAGCGUCAUUUCAACCAUCAAGCCCCCGGCUUGUGUUGGGGACCUGCGGCUGCCGCAGGCCCUGAAAACCAGUGGCGGGCUCGCUAGUCACUCCGAGCGUAGUAAUACAUCUCGCUCAGGGCGUGCUGCGGGUUCCGGCCGUUAAAACACCUUAUUUACCCAAGGUUGACCUCGGAUCAGGUAGGAAGACCCGCUGAACUUAAGCAUAUCAAUAAGCGGAGGA